rnacentral:rRNA from 1 species
GACGAACCGUGCGAACGUUGUUCGGAAUCACUGGGCUUAAAGGGCGCGUAGGCGGGUUCGCAAGUCUGUGGUGAAAGCCUCCAGCUUAACUGGAGAAGUGCCAUGGAUACUGCGCAUCUUGAGGAGGGUAGGGGCGUCUGGAACGGUCGGUGGAGCGGUGAAAUGCGUUGAUAUCGACCGGAACACCGGUGGCGAAGGCGGCAUCCUGGACCAACACUGACACUGAGGAGCGAAAGCCAGGGGAGCAAACGGG